GGGCGAUUAGCUCAGCUGGUUAGAGCACUCCGUUUACACCGGAGAGGUCGCUGGUUCGAAUCCUGCAUCGCCCA
rnacentral:tRNA from 1 species